rnacentral:rRNA from 1 species
GACGAACGCUGGCAGCGCGCCUAACACAUGCAAGUCGAACGAGCGAGAGAGAGCUUGCUUUCUCGAGCGAGUGGCGAACGGGUGAGUAACGCGUGAGGAACCUGCCUCAAAGAGGGGGACAACAGUUGGAAACGACUGCUAAUACCGCAUAAGCCCACGGCUCGGCAUCGAGCAGAGGGAAAAGGAGCAAUCCGCUUUGAGAUGGCCUCGCGUCCGAUUAGCUAGUUGGUGAGGUAAUGGCCCACCAAGGCAACGAUCGGUAGCCGGACUGAGAGGUUGAACGGCCACAUUGGGACUGAGACACGGCCCAGACUCCUACGGGAGGCAGCAGUGGGGAAUAUUGCACAAUGGGGGAAACCCUGAUGCAGCGACGCCGCGUGGAGGAAGAAGGUCUUCGGAUUGUAAACUCCUGUUGUUGGGGAAGAUAAUGACGGUACCCAACAAGGAAGUG